rnacentral:rRNA from 1 species
GUAGUCCACGCCCUAAACGAUGUCUACUAGUUGUCGGGUCUUAAUUGACUUGGUAACGCAGCUAACGCGUGAAGUAGACCGCCUGGGGAGUACGGUCGCAAGAUUAAAACUCAAAGGAAUUGACGGGGACCCGCACAAGCGGUGGAUGAUGUGGAUUAAUUCGAUGCAACGCGAAAAACCUUACCUACCCUUGACAUGUACGGAAUUCUGCUGAGAGGUGGAAGUGCUUGAAAGAGAACCGUAACACAGGUGCUGCAUGGCUGUCGUCAGCUCGUGUCGUGAGAUGUUGGGUUAAGUCCCGCAACGAGCGCAACCCUUGUCAUUAGUUGCUACGAAAGGGCACUCUAAUGAGACUGCCGGUGACAAACCGGA